GAUGAAGAACGUAGCGAAAUGCGAUAAGUAAUGUGAAUUGCAGAAUUCAGUGAAUCAUCGAAUCUUUGAACGCACAUUGCGCCCGCCAGCACUCUGGCGGGCAUGCCUGUUCGAGCGUCAUUUCAACCAUCAAGCCCCCAGGGGCUUGUGCUGGGGCCCUGCGGCUGCCCGCAGGCCCUGAAAACCAGUGGCGGGCUCGCUAGUCACACCGAGCGCAGUAGCACAUCUCGCUCAGGGCGUGCGGCGGGCUCCUGCCGUGAAACCCCCCACUGUAACCCCAAAGGUUGACCUCGGAUCAGGUAGGAAUACCCGCUGAGCUUAAGCAUAUCAAUAAGCGGAGGA
rnacentral:misc_RNA from 1 species